CCUACGGGCGGCUGCAGUAGGGAAUUUUCGGCAAUGGGGGAAACCCUGACCGAGCAACGCCGCGUGAGUGAUGAAGGUCUUCGGAUUGUAAAGCUCUGUUAUAAGGGAAGAACGGCAGCUAGAGGAAAUGCUAGCUGUUUGACGGUACUUUAUGAGAAAGCCACGGCUAACUACGUGCCAGCAGCCGCGGUAAUACGUAGGUGGCAAGCGUUAUCCGGAAUUAUUGGGCGUAAAGAGUGAGCAGGCGGCAGUUUAAGUUUGGAGUCAAAGCGAGGGGCUCAACCCCUUAACGCUCUGAAAACUGAACAGCUAGAGUGCGAGAGAGGUAAGUGGAAUUCCAUGUGUAGCGGUGAAAUGCGUAGAUAUAUGGAGGAACACCAGUGGCGAAGGCGACUUACUAGCUCGAUACUGACGCUCAGUCACGAAAGCGUGGGUAGCAAAUAGGAUUAGAUACCCCAGUAGUC
rnacentral:rRNA from 1 species